AUGUUCGUCAGCAGCAUAUAUACUAAAAUUGGAAUGAUACAGGUAAGAUUAGCAUGGCCCCUGCCCAAGAAUGACAUGCAAAUUGAAGUGUUCCAUAUACAU